AUUUUAUUAUUAUGAUGUUUUAAAGCAUAUAUAAAUUUUUGGUUUUGCUGUUGAUGAGGGGAUGUGGUGGAAUGUGGUGUAUGCAACCAAUUUUCUUUUUCUUUUUAUUUGCUUUGGCUUUUUGCGUGUAGAUUUGGAGAUUCAGCUUCUACAGGUAGAUUCGUCUGGAAAGGAACGAUUUUCUGUUGAAAGAAAAAAGAAAAGAAUCAGUCUCAAAACGAUUCUAUGUGUCUUUCUUGUGAAGAUUUAGAGCUGAAAUUCGAUUGUUGUUGGCCUCUUUUGGGUGCCUCAACUUGGUUUCUCUCUACCCAUUUUCCCUGAAAAUCUAAUGGGCUAUCUGGGCAUUUUCCGGGAAAAUUUUUGCAGUGUUAUAAAUCUUCAUUUUGGAGCUUCCAAGUAGCUGUUUCUCUGGAGACUUAAGCUGGGUUUUGGAUCGUUUGGUCUGUAGCUUGAAGCUCUUCGGAAGAUCCUCUAUACAAGUACAUGGGGUUUGUUUGAUUCUUGAUAAUUUGGUUUCUGGGGUUUGUUCAUUCCAUGGAGAAGACGAGCAGAGAAGCCUUUUCCCUGCUUUUCCUGCUCAUCUUCAUCCAUUUCUACAACGUAAAAUGCCAAGAAAACAUUAUCAACCGCGUCUCCACUGAUUCUUCUCCAUCUCCAUCUAGAGAAGCAGAAUUCAAAAGUGGUCUCAAGAAGAUAAUCCUCAGCAUAGUAUUCGGGGUUUUAACCGGUUUGCUCUCCGCCGCCUUGUGCGCCGGCAUAGUCCACUGCGUCGUCCGCUACAUGAACCGAACCCCAAUUCUCAAAGGCCCAGUUGUAUUCUCCCCCAAAAUCGCCCCCAAAACGGUCCAAUCCGCGCUUGACAGUGAGAAUCAGCUUCUAGGAUCAAGCCCCAAUGGAAAAUACUACAAAACCGCUCUCGAUAAUGGACUCAUAAUCGCAGUCAAGAGGCUUGAACCCUUUGAGACUGGCUCACCAGAAACCCAAAGUAAAUCCGUGAAGAGAAGAAUUCAGCAGGAACUAGAAAUGCUAGCCAACUUGAGACAUAGAAAUUUGAUGAGUUUGCGGGCUUAUGUCCGCGAUUCCGAUAGGUUUUCACUGGUCUAUGACUAUGUCCCCACUGGGAGUCUUGAGGACGCCAUGAAUAGAGUUAGGGAGAAUCAGCUGCAGCUUAGUUGGGAGGUUCGGCUUAGGAUUGCAGUUGGGGUGAUCAAGGGUCUUCAGUAUCUUCAUUUCAACUGCGUUCCUAGAAUUUUACACUAUAAUCUGAAGCCAACCAAUGUAAUGUUGGAUGCAGAGUUUGAGCCUAGAUUGGCAGAUUGCGGGCUGGCUAAGCUCAUGCCUAAUUUGGAUAGAGCUGCGUCGGGGUAUAGCGCUCCAGAGUGUUUCCAGAAUUGCAGGUAUACUGAGAAGAGCGACGUGUUCAGCUUUGGGGUCAUACUGGGGGUUCUGCUAACUGGUAGAGACCCCAUGGAUCCAUUCUUUAGUGAAGCAGCAGGUGGGGGGAGUUUGGGACGGUGGCUUCGCCAUUUGCAGCAAGCAGGAGAGGCAAGAGAGGCAUUGGAUAAGAGCAUCCUUGGGGAAGAAGUAGAGGAAGAUGAGAUGCUGAUGGCAGUGAGAAUUGCUGUUGUUUGCCUAUCUGAUUUGCCUGCAGAUCGGCCUUCCAGCGAUGAGCUCGUCCCAAUGCUCACCCAACUGCACAGCUUUUGAAGGAACUGUAAGUAAUUCACCAAACUUCAGUUUCUGCAGAUUCUGGGAUUUGGAUUUUUUGGGCUGUUUCUUUCAGGGUUUUGGCGUUCAAUUGGCAUGGAGUCUUGCUCUUUUUCGGCUAUUUUGGAGGGGCAAUGCAGCUGCUGCCUUCAGUAUGUUUGGUUUCUCACAACUCUUGAGUCUGAUUUCACUGCAUCUAUCAUUUGUAUUUGCUUUGGGAGCCAUGAAAAAAGGGUCUGAGAAAAAGCAUAUGUGGUGGGGUUGUUGGGAACUACUGAUAGGUCAUUCACUUGGGUCCAACUCCGACUCAAGGCAUGCUCCAAAAAUUAGUUUUAAAUAUACAAAAGAAAGAAAGGCAUGGCCCAUGGUUUGGAGCAAGCAACUGUCAGUUAGUCAUUACACUACAGCUGUGGGCCUCUGGCUGCUACAAAAAAGAACGGAAAAUUCUAAGUUACCGGUUGCUUUUAUUAUCUUUUAAUAACGGUUCAAGCAAAAUGAGAGUUGGUUGAAAAAAUUGGAACAGAUCGUUACAUUGCUUUUCAGCCUCGAGAAAAAUCUAGGAGAAAAACGUAUCACUCAAUAUGCAACUUGGGUGGACUGAUGGUCAAUUCAACUGUCCAAUCCAACCCGAUUUGAUAUCUUGUUAUUCGAUUUGAGUUCAAUCAAAGUGUUCUUUUCCUAAA